rnacentral:rRNA from 1 species
UUAAGCGACUAAGCGUACACGGUGGAUGCCCUGGCAGUCAGAGGCGAUGAAGGACGUGCUAAUCUGCGAUAAGCGCCGGUAAGGUGAUAUGAACCGUUAUAACCGGCGAUUUCCGAAUGGGGAAACCCAGUGUGACUCGUCACACUAUCAUUAACUGAAUCCAUAGGUUAAUGAGGCGAACCGGGGGAACUGAAACAUCUAAGUACCCCGAGGAAAAGAAAUCAACCGAGAUUCCCCCAGUAGCGGCGAGCGAACGGGGAGGAGCCCAGAGCCUGAAUCAGCAUGUGUGUUAGUGGAAGCGUCUGGAAAGGCGCGCGAUACAGGGUGACAGCCCCGUACACAAAAGCGCAUGUGCUGUGAGCUCGAUGAGUAGGGCGGGACACGUGGUAUCCUGUCUGAAUAUGGGGGGACCAUCCUCCAAGGCUAAAUACUCCUGACUGACCGAUAGUGAACCAGUACCGUGAGGGAAAGGCGAAAAGAACCCCGGCGAGGGGAGUGAAAAAGAACCUGAAACCGUGUACGUACAAGCAGUGGGAGCCCCACCACUAAGCCAGUGGUGAACUCCACAUACGCAUCCUUUGCUGAGGAUACGGUUAACGGAGCGAAAGCGACGUUCAACCGCAAAAGAAGCAGAGGGGGCUUAGUGGUGGGGUGACUGCGUACCUUUUGUAUAAUGGGUCAGCGACUUAUAUUCUGUAGCAAGGUUAACCGAAUAGGGGAGCCGGAGGGAAACCGAGUCUUAAUUGGGCGUUAAGUUGCAGGGUAUAGACCCGAAACCCGGUGAUCUAGCCAUGGGCAGGUUGAAGGUUGGGUAACACUAACUGGAGGACCGAACCGACUAAUGUUGAAAAAUUAGCGGAUGACCUGUGGCUGGGGGUGAAAGGCCAAUCAAACCGGGAGAUAGCUGGUUCUCCCCGAAAGCUAUUUAGGUAGCGCCUCGUGAAUUCAUCUCCGGGGGUAGAGCACUGUUUCGGCUAGGGGGCCAUCCCGGCUUACCAACCCGAUGCAAACUGCGAAUACCGGAGAAUGUUAUCACGGGAGACACACGGCGGGUGCUAACGUCCGUCGUGAAGAGGGAAACAACCCAGACCGCCAGCUAAGGUCCCAAAGUCAUGGUUAAGUGGGAAACGAUGUGGGAAGGCCCAGACAGCCAGGAUGUUGGCUUAGAAGCAGCCAUCAUUUAAAGAAAGCGUAAUAGCUCACUGGUCGAGUCGGCCUGCGCGGAAGAUGUAACGGGGCUAAACCAUGCACCGAAGCUGCGGCAGCGACACUCAGGUGUUGUUGGGUAGGGGAGCGUUCUGUAAGCCUGCGAAGGUGGCCUGUGAGGGUUGCUGGAGGUAUCAGAAGUGCGAAUGCUGACAUAAGUAACGAUAAAGCGGGUGAAAAGCCCGCUCGCCGGAAGACCAAGGGUUCCUGUCCAACGUUAAUCGGGGCAGGGUGAGUCGACCCCUAAGGCGAGGCCGAAAGGCGUAGUCGAUGGGAAACGGGUUAAUAUUCCCGUACUUGGUGUUACUGCGAAGGGGGGACGGAGAAGGCUAUGUUGGCCGGGCGACGGUUGUCCCGGUUUAAGCGUGUAGGCUGGUUUUCCAGGCAAAUCCGGAAAAUCAAGGCUGAGGCGUGACGACGAGGCACUACGGUGCUGAAGCAACAAAUGCCCUGCUUCCAGGAAAAGCCUCUAAGCAUCAGGUAACAUCAAAUCGUACCCCAAACCGACACAGGUGGUCAGGUAGAGAAUACCAAGGCGCUUGAGAGAACUCGGGUGAAGGAACUAGGCAAAAUGGUGCCGUAACUUCGGGAGAAGGCACGCUGACACGUAGGUGAAGUGAUUUACUCAUGGAGCUGAAGUCAGUCGAAGAUACCAGCUGGCUGCAACUGUUUAUUAAAAACACAGCACUGUGCAAACACGAAAGUGGACGUAUACGGUGUGACGCCUGCCCGGUGCCGGAAGGUUAAUUGAUGGGGUCAGCGCAAGCGAAGCUCCUGAUCGAAGCCCCGGUAAACGGCGGCCGUAACUAUAACGGUCCUAAGGUAGCGAAAUUCCUUGUCGGGUAAGUUCCGACCUGCACGAAUGGCGUAAUGAUGGCCAGGCUGUCUCCACCCGAGACUCAGUGAAAUUGAACUCGCUGUGAAGAUGCAGUGUACCCGCGGCAAGACGGAAAGACCCCGUGAACCUUUACUAUAGCUUGACACUGAACAUUGAGCCUUGAUGUGUAGGAUAGGUGGGAGGCUUUGAAGUGUGGACGCCAGUCUGCAUGGAGCCGGCCUUGAAAUACCACCCUUUAAUGUUUGAUGUUCUAACGUGGACCCGUGAUCCGGGUUGCGGACAGUGUCUGGUGGGUAGUUUGACUGGGGCGGUCUCCUCCUAAAGAGUAACGGAGGAGCACGAAGGUUGGCUAAUCCUGGUCGGACAUCAGGAGGUUAGUGCAAUGGCAUAAGCCAGCUUGACUGCGAGCGUGACGGCGCGAGCAGGUGCGAAAGCAGGUCAUAGUGAUCCGGUGGUUCUGAAUGGAAGGGCCAUCGCUCAACGGAUAAAAGGUACUCCGGGGAUAACAGGCUGAUACCGCCCAAGAGUUCAUAUCGACGGCGGUGUUUGGCACCUCGAUGUCGGCUCAUCACAUCCUGGGGCUGAAGUAGGUCCCAAGGGUAUGGCUGUUCGCCAUUUAAAGUGGUACGCGAGCUGGGUUUAGAACGUCGUGAGACAGUUCGGUCCCUAUCUGCCGUGGGCGCUGGAGAACUGAGGGGGGCUGCUCCUAGUACGAGAGGACCGGAGUGGACGCAUCACUGGUGUUCGGGUUGUCAUGCCAAUGGCACUGCCCGGUAGCUAAAUGCGGAAGAGAUAAGUGCUGAAAGCAUCUAAGCACGAAACUUGCCCCGAGAUGAGUUCUCCCUGAGACUUUAGGUCUCCUGAAGGAACGUUGAAGACGACGACGUUGAUAGGCCGGGUGUGUAAGCGCAGCGAUGCGUUGAGCUAACCGGUACUAAUGAACCGUGAGGCUUAACCUU